rnacentral:rRNA from 1 species
UGGGGGAUAUUGCACAAUGGGCGAAAGCCUGAUGCAGCGACGCCGCGUGGGGGAUGAAGGCCUUCGGGUUGUAAACUUCUUUUGCUCUGAACAAGGCAUGCCUUUGGGGUGUGUUGAGUGUAGGGGUUGAUUAGCGCCGGCUAACUACGUGCCAGCAGCCGCGGUAAUACGUAGGGCGCGAGCGUUGUCCGGAAUUAUUGGGCGUAAAGGGCUUGUAGGUGGCUGGUUGCGUCUGUCGUGAAAGCUCAUGGCUUAACUGUGGGUUUGCGGUGGGUACGGGCUGGCUUGAGUGCAGUAGGGGGGGCUGGAAUUCCUGGUGUAGCGGUGGAAUGCGAAGAUAUCAGGAGGAAUACCGGUGGCGAAGGCGGGUCUCUGGGCUGUUACUGACGCUGAGGAGCGAAAGCGUGGGGAGCGAACAGG